rnacentral:lncRNA from 1 species
CAAAAAACCAAGUGAAAAUGAUACUGGAAAGACUGUUUACCGUUUAACUCCUGUCCCAAUCUAACCUAGUGGGUU